rnacentral:misc_RNA from 1 species
UACGGAGGGUGCAAGCGUUGUCCGGAUUUAUUGGGUUUAAAGGGUGCGUAGGCGGCCCUUUAAGUCAGCGGUGAAAGCCCGGGGCUCAACCCCGGAACUGCCGUUGAUACUGGGGGGCUUGAGUACAGACGAGGUAGGCGGAAUUGAGGGUGUAGCGGUGAAAUGCUUAGAUACCCUCAAGAACACCGAUUGCGUAGGCAGCUUACUAGGCUGUAACUGACGCUGAGGCACGAAAGCGUGGGGAGCGAACAGG